CAAACAUGAAUAUUGUACAUAACAUGACAGCUUUAACUCAGUGGAAUUGGGAGAUUCCAGUCUAUCUAACCUGCAGUGCAGAUGCAUAUCCUCCCGUCACUGACUACAAAUGGUACAGAGAGGAGGACAACACCACGGUACUAUCAGAAGAGCAGAACUUCACUGUUUGGCCUCAGAACCCAGGAAUGUAUUACUGUACAGCAGACAAUGCUAUCGGAAAAUCACAAUCCAAAAGCAUCAAGUUAUUUAUCAGCAGCAACUUUCUCAUGCUCUAUUACAUCAUCUUUCUCCUGCUGAUUCUCACUGGUGCGACCAUCUUCCUGAUACACAGGUUAAUCAUCAAGGAAAGAUUUGAUCAACAAAGUGAAACAGAUCCUUUCUACCUUUUCCAGUUCCCAUCCGAAACUACUACUACUGUAUAUUACUAUGGAACUGUCAGCAAAAAUAGCAAAAAAAAAAAUUACUGAUGCAGAAGUCCAAACCAUAGCCUCUGAAAAUAAAGUGUCAAAGAAUUCCCAAAGAGAGGAACCUGAUUAUGAGGAUGUUUGUGCUGCUUGUGCUCCGACGCCUUCAUAGACUGAUUCCAAUACCAGUGAAAAGGAAGUGAAUUAUGCCACUGUCUUUGCCCACUUUGUUUUUUAUGUAAAUUGUUUUCUGAAAUGCAUUACUGUAUAUUUACAUAGAGGCACCAUUAUGUAGAGUAUGUCUGGCACAUAGACUCACAAGGACUCUAGGAAGCCCCAAAUUACCACUUUGGAAUUGUAUUUUUAAUUGUUUAUUUUAUCCUAUAUACACAAACAUAUUUGAACCAUAAAUAAUGUGGUGAAUUACAUUUCAAAUCUGUAAACUGAUAGAAAAUUAUUAGUGUAAGUGAACUUACUCUCAUGUCACUUCAACAUACUUUCAUGAUGUUAACAACAUGAAGAACAUGAUGGGAAAAAAUGAUUUUCCAGUAUCCCAAAGCAAAAAUUUUAAAAUGCAGUGAUGCAAUGGUGAAAAGGUUGAACAAUGCCUUACAAAUUGGUCAUUUCAAAAUCAGAUUAAACAGAAUAUUGGUUGUGAUGAUUCCAGUAUGAGACAGGUUGGGGGAAAGUAAUUGGGGCAGCGUCAGUGAGAAUGCCAAGCUUAUUUUUGCCGUCCCAGCCAUGUAAAGCAUAGCUACAGAUUAUGACCAGUAUGUAACUUGAUCAAAGAAGAGAGGCAAGCUGA